UAUCAUUAAGUGAUCCUUCACCAAGAACUGCUGGCACCUAGAUCUUGGACUUCCCAGCCUUCAGAACUGUUCACUCACUCAGAGCAUCCAAAAUGGCAAUGUUUGUGAAAGAGCUUAUAAAAUGUACAGCCCAUGAGGUCAAAGAAGACCAAGAGAACACAG